GCACUGGUGGUUCAGUGGUAGGAUUAUCUCCUUCCAUGUGGGAGGCCCAGGUUUGAUUCCUCGCCAGUGCA
rnacentral:tRNA from 1 species